UUCCAGACAUUAUCACGUAAGUAUGUUAUAUUCGUAAAAUUAUUAAUAGCCACUGAUCCAACAAGCCAUGAACCACCAGAAAGACCGCUGAUAUACAUCGCGGAUUGCAGCAGACCAGAAAGUGGAGAGUCACUCUCGAAUCUUGAGUCAAAAGCAUUGAAUGCACCACCUCCAUUAACCAUCGCCCGUAACCCACCACCUGAGAAUGCAAUUCCUAAACGUGGACCAUCCGAGCUGUUAACCACCUUAUCCAAGUCAACAUUCAAACCUGUCUUAGAAAUAAAUGAUCGGAGUUCACUGUUAACCUUAGAAAUACGUUUGUUGAUAUAGCUCUGUUCGCCCUCAUUUAAACCUUCAGAAGCCGGCCUCAACAGAUUGUCGUUUGAACAGGUCACAUUGAAAGGGGCAUACGAAGCGUCGGUACUUCGUUUUACGAGCGCAGGUUUCCUUUUAGACAAAGUGUAAAGUACGGAUGUAUCAAUAUCUUGUCCUUUAUACGAACUAGAUUCUUCAAAAUCAUAUAUUUCAGAAAUCUCCACACGACCGGGAGGAUAAGCUAACGUCAACGAAAUUUGAACGAAAGCAAAGAGUCCAAUAUAGUUGACAUACAUUGCAGAAAAUAAAAAAAGUUCAAACAAAAGCUGUAAAAAUUGAAGUUCGCAUGGAAAAGUGUACUACACGGAAGAAUAUUAAAUCAUAUAUUACUCUGGCGCACUACACAUCUCUGAUCCGGAAGAAAGAAUUCCGAACUUUAAAAGCCCCAAAAUUUGUCGCGUUAUCUCAAGAUCUGUCUACAAAAGUGAUCUUAAAUACGAAACAAUGCUUGCUGCAAAAUUCGCAAACGUUAGGCGGAUACAAUUUAGUACGGCAAGCUUUUACUUUAUGAUCAAUGUUACCUUAAAUUUCUAUUGAGUAACAAAUGUUACAAGAUAUGUAUGCGAACAAUAAUACCAGAAGCUGAUCGCUCAUCAUCG